CGCAGAUGAAAGUAAAAUUUAGUAUUAAUAAACAGCAAUGCUACAUGUACAACCAUUUUUAUAUCAUGUACUUAUUUGCAAUACACAAUUGACAAGUAAGAAGAGAUAACUAUAAAUAGCAGUUUCCAUUACUAAAAUCCAAUUACUGCAAGCUUUGCAGAGCAAUAAAGAUAAAAGAAAUCUGUCUACAGCCAGCUCAUGACAUUCCUGAAAUCUAUCUGUACAUUGUAACAAAGCAAUAAACAGAUAGUUAAGUGCAAUCUACAAACCCCUAGAACCUGGAAUAUCAAUCCACUGCAACUGGAGUUCCACUUCGCCGCAUUCUACAUUUCGCAGUCUAAGAAACAUGUUCUGAACCACCUUGCCAUUAGCCCAGAUAAUGUGGCUUUCUUCAGCUAGGCAAUUUUGCCUGCUUGGUGGGAUUCUUGUUAUUAUGGUUCCACUGGGGAGGCUUUCUAGGCGCAUCUUUACAGCUUCCAGAAAUGGACGGAUAUCAAACUCUGCAUCUCCCAUUUUGUCAUCUCGGCUGAAUGUGUCCUUAUCAUAAACUCCCUGGAUUACCAUGGAAAGAGUAAUUCAUCACAUUGAACUCAGAAAACAGCAACUAUCUUAGUUAAGCAUUCACAAAAUUUGCCACCAUAACUAUGACAAUAGAGAUUUUGUUCUACAUAUUGAACAAGCUAGAGAAGUUGUCCUCUAAAGUAAAGGAGAAGCAUAAGGAAAUUUCUCACUGCAAAUUAUUCCAUUUAAAGCGGGCCAAAUUCCAAGUUCUUCAUCUAGAAUUUCUUGUUCUAGUUGAAUCCCCCAUUACUAACCAGCUUAACAAGUUUUUUGUAAUACUACUACAGUGUAUAGAUCUAAUCAUUUUAUAAUUGUUUUUAGUAUUUUUAGCAACAUGAUUCUACACAUGUUUCAGUCAAGACUUGCAUAAAAUGAUAAUAAGCUUGCAACAUCCACCAAACAAAGACAUGGAUUCUUUACAUGCUAAACAAUUGAAAAUCCACUUCAGACUUUCAGUUCUGGGAUCACAUAAUCACAAAUUCUUUUCCCAUUUUAAACACGGAAAAACAUGAUUAUCCUUGUUUUCCAGCUGCUAAAAGUCCAGUAAAUAAUGUCAAAAUUACUGUAAUACUCACAAUCUUGAUUGGAAGAUUGGGGUUAUCAAUGGAAAGAGUCAAGUCUUCAUUCCACUCAGGAUUGACAUUUUUCUUCACCACGCGAGUCUUCAGUUUCUGCAAAAGGCCACAAUUUUAUAGAGUUCAAUUGCAAUGAAUAACGCUGGAAGCCAAAUUAAGCUCAACUAAGCCUUAAUCACAAGCAAAUUAGGGACGGCUUCAGCCUAUUUAGGAAAAAAUCAUUGAAAAAUCAAACAAUUUUUAAUUUCUAGCUUAGACUUUCUGGUUUGAGAUAACCAAACAAAUAUAGCUAGAUGAGAUCUCUAUUAAUAUUAGUAUUGUAUUCUGAUACAGUAGUGUCUACAAAAUUUACUAACAUGAAUAAAUAAGGCAGAGAUACUUUUUCUGGGUAGAUUUUCAAGUUGGAUAAAGAUUUUGAAUUGAACAAUAGGGAUUGGAAACCUAAGAAAAUUUAAAACUUUGAAAAUAUUAUUAUGACAAAACAUGGAGAAGGAUAAGUGCUUUUUCAUUUUCCAUUAAAAACCAGCUUUCUGAGAAGGGUUAAUCUCCACAAUCUAUUAAUGAGGCUAACAAUAACAAUCCACUUUACUGCUUUCCAUGUAGUUGGAGCGAAAUCGGUUUUAAGGGAAAAACAGAAGUAAAAAAAACCAAAAUCAGGUAAUAAGGAGAUUACAAACAUUUGAAUCCAUUGAUUCCAGUACUGUAGCGAAAUGGUAGUGGAAGAUAAUUAAUUGUCAUAAUUCAAGAAACCCAUUAACGUACCAACACACCACUAUUCAGAGCAGUAUAAAACCUUUGGACCGUGACAACUAAGCAUGUG
rnacentral:misc_RNA from 1 species